rnacentral:rRNA from 1 species
AUUGAGCGCUGGCGGCCGGCCUAACACAUGCAAGUCGAACGGUAACAGGAAGAAGCUUGCUUCUUUGCUGACGAGUGGCGGACGGGUGAGUAAUGUCUGGGAAACUGCCUGAUGGAGGGGGAUAACUACUGGAAACGGUAGCCAAUACCGCAUAACGUCGCAAGACCAAAGAGGGGGACCUUCGGGCCUCUUGCCAUCGGAUGUGCCCAGAUGGGAUUAGCUAGUUGGUGGGGGAACGGCGCACAAAGGCGACGAUCCCUAGCUGGUCUGAGAGGAUGACCAGCCACACUGGAACUGAGACACGGUCCAGACUCCUACGGGAGGCAGCUGUGGGGAAUAUUGCACAAUGGGCGCAAGCCUGAUGCAGCCAUGCCGCGUGUAUGAAGAAGGCCUUCGGGUUGUAAAGUACUUUCAGCGAGGAGGAAGGGAGUAAAGUUAAUACCUUUGCUCAUUGACGUUACCCGCAGAAGAAGCACCGGCUAACUCCGUGCCAGCCGCCGCCGUAA